GUGGGGAAUCUUGCGCAAUGGGCGAAAGCCUGACGCAGCCAUGCCGCGUGAAUGAUGAAGGUCUUAGGAUUGUAAAAUUCUUUCACCGGGGACGAUAAUGACGGUACCCGGAGAAGAAGCUCCGGCUAACUUCGUGCCAGCAGCCGCGGUAAUACGAAGGGGGCUAGCGUUGCUCGGAAUUACUGGGCGUAAAGGGCGCGUAGGCGGACAGCUUAGUCAGAGGUGAAAGCCCAGGGCUCAACCUUGGAAUUGCCUUUGAUACUGGCUGUCUUGAGUGUGGGAGAGGUGAGUGGAACUCCGAGUGUAGAGGUGAAAUUCGUAGAUAUUCGGAAGAACACCAGUGGCGAAGGCGACUCACUGGCCCAAUACUGACGCUGAGGCGCGAAAGCGUGGGGAGCAAACAGGAUUAGAUACCCGGGUAGUCC
rnacentral:rRNA from 1 species